GUGUUUGCUUUGAAAGCACAUAUACUAAACCUGGAACAAUACAGAGAAGAUUAGCAUGGCCCCUGAACAAGGAUGGCACACAGAUUUGUGAAACAUUCCUAUUUUGC
rnacentral:snRNA from 1 species